rnacentral:snoRNA from 1 species
CUGUAAGUACACUUAAUGAUGACUAGAGUGCAUUUGGCUCGAGAUGUUUUUCGUCGAUGUGGAAAAACCCAAGCUACCUUAUUAUUUUUGUCUGACA